GCCUGGCUGGCUCAGUUGGUGGAACGUGUGACUCUUAAUCUCUGGAUUGUGAGUUCGAACCCCACGUUGGGUA
rnacentral:tRNA from 1 species